rnacentral:rRNA from 1 species
AUGGCGAACAAGGGGGGUUCUUCGGCGUUGGGAGACAAGGCCAAGGGAAAGAUUGAUGAUCUCAUGAAGGAGUUGGCGUUGGGAGAAGAUGAUCUGGACGAUGUGAUAUUUGAAGAAGAUGAUGCACCACCAGCAGAUGAUCUCCGAUGGAUGGUCUUGGUCAGGGUGCACAUGGAUAAGGGCUUCAGCACGUACUGGUUCUUCCGCAAUAUGAGGUCGGCUUGGGAUCUGGCAAGGACAGUAAAGAUCAAAACCCUAGAGGACAAUUUGUUUAUCAUGCAGUUUAACUGCCUAGGGGAUUGGGAG